rnacentral:rRNA from 1 species
UUCGACCUGAACUCAGACGUGGACACCC